rnacentral:rRNA from 1 species
GGGGUGUAUAAAGUGGCGAAAGGGCGAGGAAUACGUUCCUACGUACCCCCAGGUCAGGGAUAGCCCAUGGAAACGUGGAGUAAUACCUGAUGUGGUCUCCGGAUCAAAGGCCUUGUGUCGCCCGGGGAGCGGGGAACGUCCUAUCAGGUUGUUGGUGAGGUAACGGCUCACCAAGCCAAAGACGGGUAGCGGGUGUGAGAGCAUGACCCGCCGCAUCGGGACUGAGACACUGCCCGGACUCCUACGGGAGGCUGCAGUAACGAAUCUUCCGCAAUGCGCGAAAGCGUGACGGAGCAAUGCCGCGUGCGGGAUGAAGCCCUUCGGGGUGUAAACCGCUGUCAGGGUUUAGGAACACAAUGACCAUACCCAAAGGAAGGACCGGCUAACUUCGUGCCAGCAGCCGCGGUAAUACGAAGGGUCCAAGCGUUAAUCGGAAUCACUGGGCUUAAAGCGUACGCAGGCGGACGUGCAGGUAUCUUGUGAAAUCCCUCGGCUCAACCGAGGAAUUGCUUGGUAAACCGCACGUCUUGAGACAGGUAGGGGCCAUCGGAACGAUCGGUGGAGUGGUGAAAUGCGUUGAUAUCGACCGGAACGCCGAAGGAGAAAUCAGAUGGCUGGGCCUGUUCUGACGCUCAGGUACGAAAGCGUGGGGAGCGAACGGGAUUAGAUACCCCGGUAGUCCACGCCGUANACGAUGUGCACUAGGUCGAGGAGGUACUGACGCCGUCCUUGGCCGAAGCGAAAGUGUUAAGUGCACCGCCUGGGGAGUACGGUCGCAAGGCUUAAACUCAAAGGAAUUGACGGGGGCUCACACAAGCGGUGGAGCAUGUGGCUUAAUUCGAAGCAACGCGAAGAACCUUAUCCUGGGUUUGACAUGUAUGGAUUAGCUCGGUGAA